UACGUAGGGUGCAAGCGUUAAUCGGAAUUACUGGGCGUAAAGCGUGCGCAGGCGGUUUUGUAAGUCUGUCGUGAAAGCCCCGGGCUCAACCUGGGAAUUGCGAUGGAGACUGCAGGGCUUGAAUCUGGCAGAGGGGGUAGAAUUCCACGUGUAGCGGUGAAAUGCGUAGAGAUGUGGAGGAACACCGAUGGCGAAGGCAGCCUCCUGGGCCAAUACUGACGCUCAUGCACGAAAGCGUGGGAGCAAACAGG
rnacentral:rRNA from 1 species